rnacentral:tRNA from 1 species
GCGGUAAUACAGCAUGUAUCGGCCUCCGGAGCCGGGUGCGCAGGUGCGAUUCCUGCCGGGCGCACCA